GUGGAACACAAAGGACUCCCCCCCUACGUCAGCUGUUGCAAUGGUCAGAGUUCAGGUGGAGGAUGUGAACGAGUCUCCAGAGUUUCAGUCCGAGGUUUAUAAGGCCUCGGUUUUCAGCAUCGCCCCGUAUAAAACCCCUGUCGUCCAUGUUAAGGCUUUGGACCCUGAUGUCGGUGAAGAGGGUCAGCUGGUCUACAGCCUGUCUGCAGACAGUCCUCACUUUGACGUGGAGCCGUCCUCGGGUCUGGUGUACGUG